GAUGAACGCUGACAGAAUGCUUAACACAUGCAAGUCGAUGGGGAAGUGGUGCUUGCACCAUGGCAACCAUGGCGGACGGGUGAGUAACGCGUAAGGGACUUACCUGCAGGACUGGGAUAACAGGGGGAAACUCCUGACAAGACCGGAUAAUGUCAUGGAGCUGCAUGGCUUUAUGAUGAAAGGAGACGCCUGCGGAGAGCCUUGCGUCCUAUUAGCUAGUUGGUGAGGUAAUGGCUCACCAAGGCGAAGAUAGGUAGCCGGCCUGAGAGGGUGGACGGCCACAAGGGGACUGAGAUACGGCCGUUACUCCUACGGGAGGCAGCAGUGGGGAAUAUUGGACAAUGGGGGCAACCCUGAUCCAGCAAUUCUGUGUGCACGAAGAAGGUUUUCGGAUUGUAAAGUGCUUUCAGCAGGGAAGAAGUAAGUGACGGUACCUGCAGAAGAAGCGACGGCUAAAUACGUG
rnacentral:rRNA from 1 species